CGGAUGAACGCUGGCGGCGUGCCUCAAACAUGCAAGUCGAGCGAGGCUAUGAAUUACCGCAAGGUAAGGCAUAGCCUAGCGGCGAACGGGUGAGUAACACGUGGGUAACCUACCUGGAAGACAGGGAUAACGAUUCGAAAGGGUCGCUAAUACCUGAUAAUAUCCAUCUGCCGGAUGGCGGAGGGAAGAAAGGGGAAACCCGCUUUCAGAUGGGCCCGCGUCCCAUCAGCUAGUUGGUAAGGUAAAGGCUUACCAAGGCGACGACGGGUAGCCGGUCUGAGAGGAUGUACGGCCACACUGGGACUGAGAUACGGCCCAGACUCCUACGGGAGGCAGCAGUUGGGAAUCUUAGGCAAUGGACGAAAGUCUGACCUAGCGACGCCGCGUGAGGGAAGAAGGCCUUCGGGUUGUAAACCUCUGUCAUGGGGGAAGAAGGAAGUGACGGUACCCCAAGAGGAAGCCCCUGCUAACUACGUG
rnacentral:rRNA from 1 species